rnacentral:rRNA from 1 species
AUUGAACGCUGGCGGAAUGCUUUACACAUGCAAGUCGAGCGGCAGCACGGGGGCAACCCUGGUGGCGAGCGGCGAACGGGUGAGUAAUACAUCGGAACAUGCCCAGUCGUGGGGGAUAACACUUCGAAAGAGGUGCUAAUACCGCAUACGUCCUGAGGGAGAAAGCGGGGGAUCUUCGGACCUCGCGCGAUUGGAGUGGCCGAUGUCAGAUUAGCUAGUUGGUGGGGUGAAGGCCUACCAAGGCAACGAUCUGUAGCUGGUCUGAGAGGAUGAUCAGCCACACUGGGACUGAGACACGGCCCAGACUCCUACGGGAGGCAGCAGUGGGGAAUUUUGGACAAUGGGGGCAACCCUGAUCCAGCCAUUCCGCGUGAGUGAAGAAGGCCUUCGGGUUGUAAAGCUCUUUCGGCAGGAACGAAACGGCGAGCUCUAACAUAGCUUGCUAAUGACGGUACCUGAAGAAGAAGCACCGGCUAACUACGUGCCAGCCGCCGCCGUAAUAC